rfam:Oryza meridionalis cultivar OR44 (W2112) chromosome 7, whole genome shotgun sequence.
UUUAAGUGCAAGCAUAAGUUUCCGCGUCCAACUUUGAUUGUCUGUUUUAUUUGUAAUUUUUUUAUAAUUAGUACUUUUUGUUGUUAUGAGUUGAUAAAACAUAAAUAGUACUUUAUAUAUCAAUAUUACUUUACUCGUGACUUAUUUUUUUAAAAUUUUUUAAAAAUUUUUCAAAUAAGAUGGACGGUUAAAGUUGAGGGCAGAAAACCAUGGAUGCACUUGAA